rnacentral:lncRNA from 1 species
AUGCUGGAACCGAACUCAACUAGCCCUGGACCCUCAGUUUUGCUGAGAGCAAAAUCAAAAUCAAAAUCAAAUCCUCCCUACUCAACCAUGAAAGAACAUUCUGGAGCAGAUUCCUUGAAAUGUCAUCGGGGAAAACAAACCACCACCAACUGUUUGAGAGCCUUUUGGCCAUAUAAAGGGAAUUGCAAUAUUCCGAGAGAGGGGCCCUGUUGGAGUAGAAAGAACCAGGGGUCUGUCGUCGAACAUGUCUCAGCUUGAACCCUUGAACUUCUUGGGUGACAUUUGGCAAGUUCUAUGACAUUGCUAAACUUCAACUUUGUCAGCUGUAAAAUGGUACAGUAAUAUUAUCUCAAACAGCUGUUGCAAGUACGAAAUGAAGUGAUACAUGGAAAAUGCCAAGCAUAUUCGCUGCCCAAUAAAUGCUGGCCAUCAUUCCUGCUUUUGAAAGCU